GGUUAGAUAACAUUAAGGUAAUGUGUUGUAUUGCAAAUACAUUUUAAAUUGGUUCAAUUCCAAUUCUAACCU
rnacentral:tRNA from 1 species